CGCGUUUUUCGCCCAGGCGGAGCUCGACCGCCGGCUCGAGUCCUGACUGACUUCAUCGACCGGCACCGGGAUAGCCACGGGGUCGAGCCGAUCUGCAAGGUCUUGCGGAUUGCCCCG
rfam:Plasmodium yoelii yoelii 17XNL contig MALPY02948, whole genome shotgun sequence.